GGAAUCCAAAAAGAGAGAAAGAAAGAAAGUUUCACCAUGAAUCGUCUUGGCUUGGCUUUACUUGUGCUGAUUGCACUGGCGGGCAUUAUCAGUGAACAGGAAGGUGUUGAAGCAGCCACUUACACUUGUCGACAACAUAAAGGUACCUGCCGGCUAAGAUGCUGUCCUAAAGGGGAGUAUAAUAUAGGCCCAUAUGCAGGCUGCUCAGUAAAUGAAGUUUGCUGCCUGCCAUAAAGAAACCUGUCAUUGAACAAGAAACAUCUAAAAAAGACAAAAAGAAGAAAAUAAUUUACUUUAGAAGAUGCUUUCACCUUUUUUGCAGCUAUGAUUACUAUACUGUAUCCACAUCCUCCCUACAGCUGUUGUUACACCAGUGACUUCCUGUCACAAUUAAUUUACAGCAUAUGUACAAAAAAUGAUAACGCUAACAGUUUUUAAUUUUAUAGGGCCUAAAAAUUAAAGCAUUGAUAUGAGGAAUCCUCAGCUUUAAAGUUUCUACUACGCUCAUACUGCAUUAAAAUACUUGUUUAACAAA